rnacentral:rRNA from 1 species
UACGUAGGUGGCAAGCGUUGUCCGGAUUUACUGGGCGUAAAGAGCGCGCAGGCGGUCGUUCAAGUCGCGUGUGAAAGCCCCCGGCUCAACUGGGGAGGGUCACGCGAUACUGAUCGACUCGAAGGCAGGAGAGGGUAGUGGAAUUCCCGGUGUAGUGGUGAAAUGCGUAGAUAUCGGGAGGAAGGCCGGUGGCGAAGGCGGAUCGUCUGGGCCUUACCUGACGCUCAG